rnacentral:Y_RNA from 1 species
GGCUGGUCCGAUGGUAGUGGGUUAUCAGAACUUAUUAACAUUAGUGUCACUAAAGUUGGUAUACAACCUCCCACUGCUAAAUUUGACUGGCUUUAA